rnacentral:rRNA from 1 species
GACGAACGCUGGCGGCGUGCCUAAUACAUGCAAGUUGAGCGAUGAAGAUUGGUGCUUGCACCAAUUUGAAGAGCAGCGAACGGGUGAGUAACGCGUGGGGAAUCUGCCUUUGAGCGGGGGACAACAUUUGGAAACGAAUGCUAAUACCGCAUAACAACUUUAAACAUAAGUUUUAAGUUUGAAAGAUGCAAUUGCAUCACUCAAAGAUGAUCCCGCGUUGUAUUAGCUAGUUGGUGAGGUAAAGGCUCACCAAGGCGAUGAUACAUAGCCGACCUGAGAGGGUGAUCGGCCACAUUGGGACUGAGACACGGCCCAAACUCCUACGGGAGGCAGCAGUAGGGAAGCUUCGGCAAUGGACGAAAGUCUGACCGAGCAACGCCGCGUGAGUGAAGAAGGUUUUCGGAUCGUAAAACUCGGUUGGUAGAGAAGAACGUUGGUGAGAGUGGAAAGCUCAUCAAGUGACGGUAACUACCCAGAAAGGGACGGCUAACUACGUG